rnacentral:rRNA from 1 species
UACGGAGGGUGCAAACGUUGCUCGGAAUCACUGGGCGUAAAGCGCACGUAGGCGGUCCGAUAAGUCGGAUGUGAAAGCCCUGGGCUCAACCUAGGAAGUGCAUUCGAAACUGUCGGACUUGAGUACGGGAGAGGGUUGCGGAAUUCCCGGUGUAGAGGUGAAAUGCGUAGAUAUCGGGAGGAACACCAGUGGCGAAGGCGACUACCUGGCCUGUUUCUUGACGCUGAGGCGCGAAAGCUAGGGGAGCAAACGGG